rnacentral:rRNA from 1 species
UGCCAGCAGCCGCGGUAACACGGGGGGGCUAGCGUUGUUCGGAAUCACUGGGCGUAAAGCGCGCGUAGGCGGACUGGUCAGUUAGGGGUGAAAGCCCAGGGCUCAACCCCGGAACUGCCUCUAAUACUGCUAGUCUUGAGUUCGAGAGAGGUGAGUGGAAUUCCGAGUGUAGAGGUGAAAUUCGUAGAUAUUCGGAGGAACACCAGUGGCGAAGGCGGCUCACUGGCUCGAUACUGACGCUGAGGUGCGAAAGCCAGGGGAGCAAACGGGAUUAGAUA